GUAAGCUUUGAUCCAGAGAUUUCCGAAUGGGGAAACCCAGCAUGAGUUAUGUCAUGUUAUCGAUAUGUGAAUACAUAGCAUAUCAGAAGGCACACCCGGAGAACUGAAACAUCUUAGUACCCGGAGGAAGAGAAAGAAAAUUCGAUUCCCUUAGUAGCGGCGAGCGAAACGGGAAGAGCCCAAACCAACAAGCUUGCUUGUUGGGGUUGUAGGACACUCUAUACGGAGUUACAAAGGACGACAUUAGACGAAUCAUCUGGAAAGAUGAAUCAAAGAAGGUAAUAAUCCUGUAGUCGAAAAUGUUGUCUCUCUUGAGUGGAUCCUGAGUACGACGGAGCACGUGAAAUUCCGUCGGAAUCUGGGAGGACCAUCUCCUAAGGCUAAAUACUCUCUAGUGACCGAUAGUGAACCAGUACCGUGAGGGAAAGGUGAAAAGCACCCCGGAAGGGGAGUGAAAUAGAACCUGAAACCGUGUGCUUACAAGUAGUCAGAGCCCGUUAAUGGGUGAUGGCGUGCCUUUUGUAGAAUGAACCGGCGAGUUACGAUUUGAUGCAAGGUUAAGCAGUAAAUGUGGAGCCGUAGCGAAAGCGAGUCUGAAUAGGGCGUUUAGUAUUUGGUCGUAGACCCGAAACCAGGUGAUCUACCCUUGGUCAGGUUGAAGUUCAGGUAACACUGAAUGGAGGACCGAACCGACUUACGUUGAAAAGUGAGCGGAUGAACUGAGGGUAGCGGAGAAAUUCCAAUCGAACCUGGAGAU
rnacentral:rRNA from 1 species